rnacentral:rRNA from 1 species
UUGGAGGGCAAGUCUGGUGCCAGCAGCCGCGGUAAUUCCAGCUCCAAUAGCGUAUAUUAAAGUUGUUGCAGUUAAAAAGCUCGUAGUUGAAUUUCGGGGUCAGUAGGUUGGUCAUGCCACUGGUAUGUACUGGCCUCACUGAUUCCUCCUUCCUGAUGAGCCGUAAUGCCAUUAAUUUGGUGUUGCGAGGAAUCUGGACUGUUACUUUGAAAAAAUUAGAGUGUUUAAAGCAGGCUAACGCUUGAAUACAUUAGCAUGGAAUAAUGAAAUAGGACGUUCGAUCUUAUUUUGUUGGUUUCUAAGAUUGACGUAAUGAUUAAUAGGGAUAGUUGGGGGCAUUAGUAUUCAAUUGUCAGAGGUGAAAUUCUUGGAUUUAUUGAAGACUAACUACUGCGAAAGCAUUUGCCAAGGAUGUUUUCAUUAAUCAAGAACGAAAGUUAGGGGAUCGAAGACGAUCAGAUACCGUCGUAGUCUUAACCAUAAACUAUGCCGACUAGGGAUCGGAUGAUGUUAAUUUUUUAAUGACUCAUUCGGCGCCUUACGGGAAC